AACGAACGCUGGCGGCACGCUUAACACAUGCAAGUCGAACGAAGCUAUAGGGCUUGCUCUAUAGACUGAGUGGCAGACGGGUGAGUAACACGUGGGAAUUUACCAUUUGGUGGGGGAUAACAUCUGGAAACGGAUGCUAAUACCGCAUAAGCCCUGAGGGGGAAAGAUUUAUUGCCGAAUGAUAAGCCCGCGCGAGAUUAGCUAGUUGGUAAGGUAAAAGCUUACCAAGGCGACGAUCUCUAGCUGGUCUGAGAGGAUGAUCAGCCACACUGGGACUGAGACACGGCCCAG
rnacentral:rRNA from 1 species